AGUGAACGCUGGCGGUAGGCCUAACACAUGCAAGUCGAACGGCAGCACAGUAAGAGCUUGCUCUUACGGGUGGCGAGUGGCGGACGGGUGAGGAAUACAUCGGAAUCUACUUUUUCGUGGGGGAUAACGUAGGGAAACUUACGCUAAUACCGCAUACGACCUACGGGUGAAAGCAGGGGAUCUUCGGACCUUGCGCGAUUGAAUGAGCCGAUGUCGGAUUAGCUAGUUGGCGGGGUAAAGGCCCACCAAGGCGACGAUCCGUAGCUGGUCUGAGAGGAUGAUCAGCCACACUGGAACUGAGACACGGUCCCGAGUCCUAAGGGAGGGAGCAGAGGGGAAUAUUGGGCAAUAGGGGGAAAGCUGGUCCAAGCAUACCGGGGUGGGUGAGGAGGGCUUCCGGGUGUAAAGGCCUUUUGUUGGGGAAAAAAAGGAGGAGGUUAAAACCCCGCUUGUCUGGACGGAACCAAAAGAAAAAGAACCGCCAAAUUUCUG
rnacentral:rRNA from 1 species